UGACCACGAGACCGAUAGCGAACAAGUACCGUGACGGAAAGUUGAAAAGAACUUUGAAGAGAGAGUUCAAGAGUACUUGAAACCGUUCAGGAGUAAACCUGAGAAACCCGAAAGAUCGAAAGGAGAGAUUCAAUGUUAUCGUUGUCUUCCAUUUAGUGGCGUGCGAUUGACCAGGAUUCGUCCCGCGAUACGCCGUCGGUUUAUGUGUCAGGCGGCGUUGGCAUGCACUUCUCUCUCAGUAGGACGUCGCGACCCGUUUGGUGUCGAUCUACGACCGCGGCGGUAGCCUGUCACGAAUUUAUUCGCGCCAGACCCCGCGUGCUCCGGCCGACUGCCAGACGGUAUAAAUGAUAUGGUAUAGGGUCGCUUUUAAGCGUUCGGCCGGUUGCAAGCACGGACGGUUAUUGGCCGUCGGACCUAGUCCGGCAUCGAUGCCGCCUCGAGCUGUUAGCUACCGUGUUCUCGAACGGACUCUAUUACCGGUCAGCGAUGCUAUUGCUUUGGGUACUUUCAGGACCCGUCUUGAAACACGGACCAAGGAGUCUAGCAUGUGCGCGAGUCAUUGGGAAAUACAAAACCUAAAGGCGCAAUGAACGUAAAUGUUUGCUUAAGUAAACUGAGGGAUGACGGACCGCAUCUACGGAUGCGUGCCUGCAAUCCCGAGGCGUCUCACUCUCAUUGCGAGAAGAGACGCACUCAGAGCGUACACUCUAGGACCCGAAAGAUGGUGAACUAUGCCCGGUCAGGUCGAAGUCAGGGGAAACCCUGAUGGAGGACCGUAGCGAUUCUGACGUGCAAAUCGAUCGUCGGAACUGGGUAUAGGGGCGAAAGACUAAUCGAACCAUCUAGUAGCUGGUUCCCUCCAAAGUUUCCCUCAGGAUAGCUGGCAUUCGAUGAGCGAGUCUCAUCCGGUAAAGCGAAUGAUUAGAGGCCUUGGGGCCGAAACGACCUCAACCUAUUCUCAAACUUUAAAUGGGUGAGAUCUCUGGCUUGCUUGAAUAGUGAAGCAAGAGAUUUGGAUCAGAGUGCCUAGUGGGCCAUUUUUGGUAAGCAGAACUGGCGCUGUGGGAUGAACCAAACGCCGAGUUAAGGCGCCUAAACGACGCUAAUGGGAUACCAUGAAAGGCGUUGGUUGCUUAAGACAGCAGGACGGUGGCCAUGGAAGUUGGAAUCCGCUAAGGAGUGUGUAACAACUCACCUGCCGAAGCAACUAGCCCUGAAAAUGGAUGGUGCUGAAGCGUCGUGCCUAUACUCGGCCGCCAAGGCAUGAGAAACGUUCAUAAUAGUUCGUUUUGACGCCCUGGUGAGUAGGAGGGUCGCGGUGGUGUGCGCAGAAGGGUUUGGGCGUAAGCCUGCCUGGAGCCGCCAUCGGUGCAGAUCUUGGUGGUAGUAGCAAAUACUCCAGCAAGGCCCUGGAGGACUAACGUGGAGAAGGGUUUCGUGUGAACAGCCGUUGCACGCGAGUCAGUCGAUCCUAAGCCCCAGGAGAAAUUCUAUGUUGAUGUUGGUGUAUUUUAUUUUGAAUAAAAUUUCACACCCAUCGGGCGAAAGGGAAUCCGGUUCCUAUUCCGGAACCCGGCAGCGGAACCGUUUACAAGUCGGGCCCUCGCAAGAGAGUUCGUCGGGGUAACCCAAAAUGACCUGGAGACGCCGUCGGGAAAUACGGGAAGAGUUUUCUUUUCUAUAUGAGCGUUUGAGUUCCCUGGAAUCCUCUAGAAGGGAGAUAGGGUUUGGAACGCGAAGAGCACCGCUGUUGCGGCGGUGUCCGUAUCUUCCCCUCGGACCUUGAAAAUCUAGAAGAGGGCCACGGUAGGUGUCGCGCCGGUUCGUACCCAUAUCCGCAGCAGGUCUCCAAGGUGAAGAGCCUCUAGUCGAUAGAUAAAUGUAGGUAAGGGAAGUCGGCAAAUUGGAUCCGUAACUUCGGGAUAAGGAUUGGCUCUGAGGAUCGGGGCGUGCCGGGCUUGGUUGGGAAGCGGUUGGGAACGCACAAAGGUCUAAAUCCGCAGCAGCCAACCUAGAACUUAUUUUUCAUCAGUUAGGACUUGACAUACUCUGUAUUCAAGAACCUUACUCAAUAAGGGGCAUGAUAAAAGGGUACACCUCAGCUGGACUGAGAGUACUACAACCGGAAACGACCAAUCCUUGGGUUGCAAUCGUAGUAAGAGACGGAGAAUAUGAUAUCUUUCAAAGGUCAGAGCUGGAAUGUGAUCAUAUAAUGUGCGUAGAGAUAUGUACUUGUAAAGAAAGCUUGUAUCUCGUAAACUGCUACAUGCAGUUCUCAGUCGACAUAAGUAUCUUCCUGCAAAAGCUGGACAGAAUCCUCAGGAACCUGGCCGGCCGCCGCAUCAUAGUCACGACAGACGCAAAUGCAAAAUCUGGUCUGUGGUUUUCGAAAACUCUGGGUAGCAGAGGCAAGGAACUAGAGGAGUGGAUCGCCUCUAAUAACCUAGUUGUUUUGAAUGAGCCUGGUCACAACUACACAUACCAAAGUGAAGCUGGGGACACAAAUAUAGACGUAACACUUACAACCCCGAAUAUGUCUUCAAAAGUGAUCAACUGGAAUGUGAGUGAUAUAGCGACCACCAGUGAUCACAGCCUUUUAACAUUUGAAGUAGUGCUUGAAGCAUCAGUCACAAGGCAAAUAAAGAAUCAAACAGGCUAUAACACAAGAAAGGCUAAGUGGGACAGGUUCGGGGAACUGGUGGAGAGGGAAUUCGACCAACAAAGUCUGGAGUCUCUGCAGAGGUUAGACCCAAAUAGGGCUA
rnacentral:rRNA from 1 species